CUUGAACGCUGGCGGCAGGCCUAACACAUGCAAGUCGAACGAGUUGCGGACGGGUGAGUCAUGUCUGGGAAACUGCCUGAUGGAGGGGGCUAACUACUGGAAACGGUAGCUAAUACCGCAUACCAUCGGAUGUCCCCAGAUGGGAUUAGCUAGUAGGUGGGGUAACGGCUCACCUAGGCGACGAUCCCUAGCUGGUCUGAGAGGAUGACCAGCCACACGGGAACUGAAACACGGUCCAGAGUCGUACGGGAGGCAGCAGUGGAGAUGAGUUCACAGUGGUCACAAGGCUAAUGCAGCCAUGCGUCGUGUAUGAAGAAGGGCUUCGAGUUGUAAAGUAGUUUCAGCGAGGAGGCGUGUCUCGCAGAAGAAGCACCGGCUAACGACGAGCCAGCAGCCGCGGUAAUUC
rnacentral:rRNA from 1 species